GGCAGAGCGUCAACGCACCUGACAAUCUUGUAUAAGACACAGUGGACUGGAACCCAUUAGUUCUCUUUCGUCAUCAAAUAUCUGCCGAAACAAGCACGUCAUUCAUAAUGUUACAGCAAACCAGGGAAACAAGAAAUGUACAAAGUAUGACAUCAGUAAGGAUACAACCAUCUAGCAGGUUAAUCCGAUUGAGUGCUAAACUCUGAAACAGCCUUUCAUCAGUAGCUGAUGUAAGUCAGCCCAGACACCACAACAACUUUGGCCAAUUACUGUGUGUCCUGUAGUGUUAGCACAGGCUUGAAGGUCUGACCAGAUGUAAUCACAAAGACAGCACCCACUUCUCAGCAUUCUAAGACAAAAUGUUGGUCCAGCAGAGGCUUGAACCAUGACCUCCCGCACAACAGACUGAUGCUCUUGGAGGAUAAAAUCCCCCUCCUACAAUAAAUAAUGGACUCUCCCUUAAUUUAAAAUAGAUUCAUGACUUCAUGUACCUCUAC